rnacentral:rRNA from 1 species
GUAGGGAAUAUUGGGCAAUGGUCGGAAGACUGACCCAGCCAUGCCGCGUGCAGGAAGACGGCCCUCUGGGUUGUAAACUGCUUUUAUCUGGGAAGAAAAAGGCCAUGCGUGGCAAAUUGCCGGUACCAGAUGAAUAAGCACCGGCUAACUCCGUGCCAGCAGCCGCGGUAAUACGGAGGGUGCGAGCGUUGUCCGGAUUUAUUGGGUUUAAAGGGUGCGUAGGCGGCUGAUUAAGUCAGCGGUGAAAGACUUCGGCUUAACCGGAGCAGUGCCGUUGAUACUGGUUGGCUUGAGUGUCGGAGGGGUACAUGGAAUUGAUGGUGUAGCGGUGAAAUGCAUAGAUACCAUCAGGAACACCGAUAGCGAAGGCAUUGUACUGGCCGACAACUGACACUGAUGCACGAAAGUGUGGGGAUCGAACAGGAUUAGAUACCCGAGUAGUCC